AUAAUUUGUCGUACAACAUAUCUUUUAUUAAAAAAGUAUGAGUGAGGCUACUAUGCUAUCGGAAGCACGGAGCCUUCCGUGCUUUUAGCUCGUUUUCGAUGUUGCGACUUUCGAAUUGUCGAUCGGCUCCGUUAAACUUGAUCUAGAGUAUUUGAAAUACCUAGAAAAUAAAUUUUAUUAUUUUUCGAUAUCAUUUGCCUAAUGAUCGAAUGGGCUCAAAAUCAACAAAUUUCAAUGGCCGUAGUGAGCCGUUUGCAAGUUUAACGAUGUAGAAAUAUUCAAAUCACGUGAAAUUUUGAUAGAAAAUUUUUUAUACUAUAUAAAACAAGAUCAAUAUCUUUGAUUUAAAAUUUUAAUGUCAUANUAUA
rnacentral:lncRNA from 1 species